ensembl:lncRNA MIR99AHG mir-99a-let-7c cluster host gene
CUAUGACACUUAGAGAAGAUGUCUUUUGAUUUUUCCCAUCUAACUAGAAAUUUCUGGCCUUCUUCAACCUUCAUGUAAUAGUGAAUUUAUUGAUACUGCAUUUGCAAGGUUGACGUUUCAUUUCUAAGAAAAGAAUGUUUACUACAAUUAGAUGAGAAGAGUCUCUUCUGGUCAAAGAAGAUCUCUUAAGAGUAGUUCACAUGGGGAAAAGAAAAAUGGAUCUGAGAACGCUGUCUGGGCUUGGUACCAAGAGCUGGUAUUUCACAGCAGCGACCGCCUCACAGACGAGCUGUGGGAAGCAGGAGGGAGACUCUCUCUUAGGGUGCCACUACUAUGGAGACACAGCUGGGCUGAACAAGAUUUGCUUCAAACGACAACAAGAGAGACAGAAAGUAUCUGGUUCAACCGCUGCCCGAGCAGGCAGGCACCAGAAGAGCUAGCAGCCAAUCCGGCCAUGCUCGAAGCCAGCUCUGCAGCUCAGCCAAUCAGUGACAUCAUUGCUUUCUUUAGCUUGCCCAUGGUGAUGUGAAGAUGAGAAGAAAUAGCAAGGCCCAACCAGUUCUUCAUCUGGAGACAGUUCAACGUUCUGCAAACCAGAUCUUCAGGAAUUUUACUGGGAUAAUUAUCCAAAUAAAUUGCAAGCAUUCUAUCCAAAUGGAGCUCUUUCUGAGAUGAAGAGAAUUCUCAAUGUCAAGAUUUGAACAAGAAGAGAAUGGAAUACACAAUAUGGACAUCCAUAAAAAUUCAUCAGAGAGCAUUUUACUACUGAGCUGCAAAGAUGACAAGAGCACCUCAAAGGCAGCAGCCUCAAGGAGCAGCCAUGGCCCCAGACUUGUCGCACGGAUGCAGAAAACUUAAUGGAGGAGGCUGAGUCAAAUCAGGAGCUUUAGAAAAUACUGAUGCCUGGCUCUCAACCAGAGAGAACUGAACUGAAUUGGUCUGGUGAAUUCAUUAAAAGAGCUAACAACAAUGAAGUUAAUGUACGCAUCUCACCUCUCAAGAGUAUUAACAGGCCAGGCGUGUUGGCUCAUACCUGUAAUCCCAGCACUUUGGGAGGCCAAGGCGGGCGGAUCACCCAAGAAUGGGAUAACUGCCUGGCACUCACCAAGCUACACUUGAAGAGGAUCAAUCCAUGUCAUCAUGUCCCCAAUUUCAUAGCACCAAGUAUUUUGUUUAUUCACAAAUGCCCUAUUAUGGACAUCUAGCAAACAAUGAUACAUCAGAAAAGGAGAUGUGCAUAAAUUUUCAUGGAAUAAGGUAUAAAGCCCAACUCUCAAUACAUACUAAUCAUAACAGGAGUCUAAGAAAUAUUCUGAAAUAAAUGGGAAUGCAGAAUGUGUCAGGCCUCUGAGCCCAAGCUAAGCCAUCAUAUCCCCUGUGACCAGCACGUACACAUCCAGAUGGCCGGUUCCUGCCUUAACUGAUGACAUUCCACCACAAAAGAAAUUAAAAUGGCCUGUUCUUGCCUUAACUGAUGACAUUAUCUUGUGAAAUUCCUUCUCCUGGCUCAUCCUGGCUCAAAAGCUCCCCAACUGAGCAUCUUGUGACCCCCACUCUUGCCUGCCAGAGAACAACCCCACUUUUUCCUUUACCUACCCAAAUCCUAUAAAACAGCCCCACCCCUAUCUCCCUUCGCUGACUCUCUUUUUGGACUCAGCCCGCCUGCACCCAGGUGAUUAAAAUCUUUAUUGCUCACACAAAGCCUGUUUGGUGAUCUCUUCACAGGGAUGCGCAUGAAAGAAUGUGCCACAGAAAAUGAGACACAUCAAUGAGGGUAGGUUUGAAAUACCAAUUUAAAGCAGACUUUCACCGUUUGGCCAGGCUAUAAACAUUAAAAAUCCAUAACUAAGAUCUUACUAUAUAUUCAGGCAUUUUAAGAACUCUGCAUAUAUAAUUACAUUUGACCCUUCUAAUGCCUUUAUCAGAUAGGUUCUAUUAUUGCUCUUUUUUAAAUAAAGAAGAUAAACUUUGAAGAGAUUAAUAAAUUAAUAAAUUGGUCCUCCAUGACAC